rnacentral:tRNA from 1 species
GCUUUCGUCGUGUAAUUGGUCAGCAAACUCGGCGCGUAUACGAGAGGUCCAAGGUUCGAAUCCCGGCGAAGGCA